AAUGAAAAUAUUAAAAUGAACUCUUCAUAGGCCUGUCACCUUUUAAAUCUAAGAUUGUUAAUAGAUUGAAUAUUCAUUGGACAUAAAUUAAGGGAAUUUUACUGGCCACACUGUGGGUGGAAACAUAACCAACGCAUAUAGUACUAUGUUCUGACUCCUUAUCUGCAUUAAAUGAUUAAAACUAUAGGAUAUCAUCUUUAAGACAGGACUUUCUGUUUGAAAUUUGUGUAAAAUUUUAUACUAAACCUAAGAAACAGAUGUUACCUUUGGGUUACAAGUUCAACUCACUAACCAUUAGGUUACAACUUUCUCUAUAGGUGAGCGAAGUGUGUAGACAAACGUUGUUAGACAGUUGUGAGACAGUUAAAUGGUGAAGGGAGUGAUCCAAUAAGCCUAUUGAUGGAAGGUCUGUAAAGAAAUUUUAUGCUACCUUUUAUAAAAGUAUUUUAUAGUAUAUUUAAAAUUCAAAAAUAAAGUAUUUUAUUUUGAUACAAUUGUGGUUGCUGUAUUUAGCAGUUUAUUUUGAUACACUUAAAAUUUAUGUAUUUAGUUAGUUUUUUAUUGCAAAAGACCUUUCAUUGUAUUUUUGCCUAUCCCUGAUAACCACACACACACACAUUUUUUAUUUAUUUUUCACUUUAAGCCUUUCAGAACAUGCUGUCAUCCUUGGUGUGAAAAGUGGUAGAGCGAUUCCUGGAGCAGUUUCCUGGCACCCAUGCAGAAUUGCACAUUUUUCUAAAAAAAAAAAAAAAAAAGACUCUAAGAUUUUAAUUAAAAACUACAUUUUAACCCUCUCCAUCUCUGCUGAAAGAAGCUCAACUUAAUGUCUAAUUCUACCCAUCUUUAAAAAACUUCAACAACACUUGACAGGUAAUGAUAAGGACUCUUGCUUGACAAACAACAUCAAGGACACUGGAAUGGCCUCUCAAAAAAAAUGUGUGUACCAGGUUUAGUGUUAUCGCAUUGAAUUGUCACUUUUUUUAUUAGCAUUGUUCAGGGAUUCAUGCUGUUGUUGCUGUGAAGGUAGUAACAUCACACAGUUUUGGAAGACAGCACUGUCUUACAUCCCAGAUUCAAGUCAAAGGUGGCAGAUAAAGUGCAGAACAGACUGGAGCACAAGCUGAUUACAAGGACCACAGAACAGCCUCAAGUCAAGCAGAUAGAGCUGAAGUUUAAAAAGAGAGCAGCAAAUUCGGCAAAAUAAUAGUUAAUCUGAUGAAGACUGCAUCUGCAGCAACAACACUGAAGAGACCAAAGCUCUCUGCCCUUGAGAAACUGUUGUCGAGGACAUGGCAGCUGAAGCAAGAGAAAAAGACACUUGUCCCCAGUAUUACAGAGAUUUAGACAGAGAUAAAUCACUACAGACGGUGUCCAUCUACA